rnacentral:rRNA from 1 species
GACGAACCGUGCGAACGUUGUUCGGAAUCACUGGGCUUAAAGGGCGCGUAGGCGGGCUAUCAAGUCCGGGGUGAAAUCCUCCAGCUCAACUGGAGAACGGCCUCGGAUACUGAUGGUCUCGAGGAGGAUAGGGCACACGGAACUGUGGGUGGAGCGGUGAAAUGCGUUGAUAUCCAUAGGAACUCCGGUGGCGAAAGCGGUGUGCUGGACUCCUUCUGA